CCCCUGGUGCAUAUCUUGGUGGUAGUAUCAAAUAUUCAAAUGAGAACUUUGAAGAGUAAAGUGGGGAAAUGUUCCAUGUGAACAUCACUUGGACAUGGGUUAGUCGAUCCUAAGAGAUGGGGAAUCCUUGUAUCGAGGGUGCACUCUGCAUGAACAUCAAAAGAGAAUUGGGUUAAUAUUCUCGAACUGGGACAUGGUGGUGGAUGACAAUGUUAGGAAAUCUGGAGAUGUCAUCUUUCCCACCCUAAAAUUUAACAUCUUUUCUUUUCUUUUUAACAUCUUUCCCACCCUAAAAUUGGUUCAACUGGAGAUAUGGUACAACACCUGGAAGAGCACCACAUGUCUUGUGGUGUUUGGUGCCCCCUUGACGACCAUUGUAAAUCUAGAGGACCGAGUACCAUCCAUGCCCGAUCGUACUCAUAUCUGCCUCCUUGGAUUUUUCAAUUCCCACUAGGU
rnacentral:ncRNA from 1 species